rnacentral:rRNA from 1 species
GUGCCAGCAGCCGCGGUAAUACGGAGGGUGCAAGCGUUAUCCGGAUUCACUGGGUUUAAAGGGUGCGUAGGUGGGUUGGUAAGUCAGUGGUGAAAUCUCCGAGCUUAACUUGGAAACUGCCAUUGAUACUAUCAGUCUUGAAUAUUGUGGAGGUCAGCGGAAUAUGUCAUGUAGCGGUGAAAUGCUUAGAUAUGACAUAGAACACCAAUUGCGAAGGCAGCUGGCUACACAUAUAUUGACACUGAGGCACGAAAGCGUGGGGAUCAAACAGGAUUAGAUACCCUGGUAGUCCACGCCCUAAACUAUGGAUACUCGACAUACGCGAUACACUGUGUGUGUCUGAGCGAAAGCAUUAAGUAUCCCACCUGGGAAGUACGAUCGCAAGAUUGAA